rnacentral:lncRNA from 1 species
GGCCAGAGCCGGCCCUGCCUAUGCAGCAUCGCAAUUCCGCGAUGCUAGUUACAGAAUCUGCACACACCGACAUCACCACGGUGAUCACUUGUAGCACUCAGACAUAGAAUCUCGCAACACCCACCGGUGAGCUGUAGCUCCGGCAACCUAUACAAUGCAGCGCCCAGUCAGUGCGGCCGCGAGCUACCGGGUGGUGUCUGACCCCUUGCGACCUGAGUAUACUCUUUGCCGCUCAGACAAUACACGCGUGUGCUAGGAUAAGCUGAUUGUUCAUGCGUCUAGGAAAGAUUUUUCUCACAUAUAGUUCACUGAAACUGUUAAUGCAACAAUGAUUUUACCUUCUUGAGAUGUCUUGUGGCCAUCAAGUGUUUAACUCAGGCAUGCUUAUGUAUCUUUAACUCUUGAUGAUUUUUCUUCAUCCAUAGCAAUUGGACAAGCGUCGAUGCUCAUUUUAUGAACACAACAUAUCCUUUUAAGGAAGUGUACAUAAAAAGUACCCUCCCCUUACAAUUUACAUUCAUGUGUAAGUGCACUAUGCUCCAAUUGAUGCGCGAGGACAGACCAAUUUCAUAUCACUGACCUAAACAAUUAGUGCCCGACUCAUGUCUGCUUCCCAUGGCUACAUUAUUCUUCACCCAUUUUCCCAUCCAUAGCGACAUCCACUCACUUAUAUAAAUCCUUCACUUCUUAGCUCUGCGAAUUUCAUAGUCUACAUUCCACGCUUAGACCUCAGCAUGGAUAUGCUUAAACAUCACAAUUUUUUUUUUUGAAAAAGGAGUAAACAUCACAAAAUAUCGAUGAUUAGUUGCAAGAGCGUGUCAGUGCUAUAUACAUUUAAUGCUUAAAAGUGGUUCCUGGUCUAGAACUUGACGAAGACCUCUGAGAAUGAAAGGCAUCGGGGAAAAUGAUACAUGCAAGGAUGUGUGCCAAAGAAAUGAAAGAAAUGACGAUUCUUCCAGAUCUAAUAUCCCUUCCAAUGAUGUAUGAUAUUACCAUAGAUUAGGAGCAUCAUGGGACUCUGUGUUGGAAGUCCAAUACACGUGGAGCGCCUGAGGAACAACAGCCUUGGCCGACUCCUUCGGCUCGAUCAGCAGCACAUGCACUUCGUGCGCACGCCCGCCUCGCCUGCACGGCAUUCUCGGCCACGACGGUUGUACACGAUCGCUCUCUCUCACCCCCUUGUUUUUUUAGAAAAGGAGAAAGACCCC